rnacentral:rRNA from 1 species
GACGAACGCUGGCGGCGUGCUUAACACAUGCAAGUCGAACGGUGAUGCUCCAGCUUGCUGGAGUGGAUCAGUGGCGAACGGGUGAGUAACACGUGAGCAACCUGCCCCAGACUCUGGAAUAAGCGCUGGAAACGGCGUCUAAUACUGGAUACGAAACUGGCCCGCAUGGGCAUGGUUUGGAAAGUUUUUCGGUUUGGGAUGGGCUCGCGGCCUAUCAGCUUGUUGGUGAGGUAAUGGCUCACCAAGGCGACGACGGGUAGCCGGCCUGAGAGGGCGACCGGCCACACUGGGACUGAGACACGGCCCAGACUCCUACGGGAGGCAGCAGUGGGGAAUAUUGCACAAUGGGCGAAAGCCUGAAGCAGCGACGCCGCGUGAGGGAUGACGGCCUUCGGGUUGUAAACCUCUUUCAGCAGGGAAGAAGCGAAAGUGACGGUACCUGCAGAAGAAGCACCGGCUAACUACGUG